AACGAACGCUGGCGGCAGGCCUAACACAUGCAAGUCGAGCGCGCCCUUCGGGGUGAGCGGCGGACGGGUGAGUAACGCGUGGGAACGUGCCCUUUUCUACGGCAUAGCCUCGGGAAACUGAGAGUAAUACCGUAUACGCCCUUUGGGGGAAAGAUUUAUCGGAAAAGGAUCGGCCCGCGUUGGAUUAGGUAGUUGGUGGGGUAAUGGCCUACCAAGCCGACGAUCCAUAGCUGGUUUGAGAGGAUGAUCAGCCACACUGGGACUGAGACACGGCCCAGACUCCUACGGGAGGCAGCAGUGGGGAAUCUUAGACAAUGGGGGCAACCCUGAUCUAGCCAUGCCGCGUGAGUGAUGAAGGCCUUAGGGUUGUAAAGCGCUUUCAGCUGGGAAGAUAAUGACGGUACCAGCAGAAGAAGCCCCGGCUAACUCCGUG
rnacentral:rRNA from 1 species